rnacentral:tRNA from 1 species
GCUCCCACAGGAUAACAGCUUAUCCGUUGGUCUUAGGAACCAAAAAUUCUUGGUGCAAAUCCAAGUGGUUGCU